AUGAAGCUCCUCAGCUGGAACUGCCGGGGUUUGGGACAGCCUCGGACAGUUCAGGAGCUAGUGUGCUUGGUAAGCAUGCAUCGUCCUUCUAUCGUCUUCCUCUCAGAAACUAGGCAGAAUAAAGAGAGGGUACGUAGUCUUGGUUGGAGAGUAGGCUUUAAAAAUUGCAUGCUUCAUGAUGGAAAAGGGAAAGGGGCUGGAAUUGCUAUGUACUUGAAUGACUCCGUUGAAAUAAAGAAGUUAUCGGUUGGCCCGUGUUAUAUUGAUGUGCUAAUACGGAAUAACCCGAAUGAGAUGUGGUGGAGGGGAACCUUUGUGUAUGGGGAGCCGAGGGUACAAGACAGGCGACACAUGUGGAACCUCCUGAAAAGAAUUAAACACCACUCCAGCACCCCAUGGCUAGUAAUUGGGGAUUUUAACGAGACACUCUGGCAAAGUGAACAUUUUUCAGUCUCUAAGAGAUCAGAGAAGCAGAUGGCAGACUUUAGAGAAGUGUUGAGCUGGUGUAACUUGCACGAUCUGGGAUACCGGGGUCCAGGUUGGACUUUUGAUAACAAGCAGGAGGGAAGGAGAAAUGUAAAGGCAAGGCUUGACCGUGGUGUGGCCACACCAUGUUGGAGCAAUAGGUUUCAGAAUGCGCAGGUAGAGCACAUCUGA
rnacentral:rRNA from 1 species